CGGAGCCGGAUGAGCUGAGAGGUUCACGUCCGGUUCUGUGAGGGGCUACUGGGGAGGUACCAGUGGUCUACUUGCCUUGUUUGUUGUUUUCAAUAUAAAAGUGAAGCUGAACAAUUCUUCCAUUCGCU
rnacentral:ncRNA from 1 species